GACGAACGCUGGCGGCGUGCUUAACACAUGCAAGUCGAACGGAAAGGCCCCUUUGGGGGUCCUCGAGUGGCGAACGGGUGAGUAACACGUGAGUAACCUGCCCUUGACUUCGGGAUAACUUCAGGAAACUGGGGCUAAUACCGGAUAGGAAUCCUUGCUGCAUGGUGGGGGUUGGAAAGCUUCGGCGGUUUUGGAUGGACUCGCGGCCUAUCAGCUGGUUGGUGGGGUAGUGGCUUACCAAGGCUUUGCCGGGUAGCCGGCCUGAGAGGGCGACCGGCCACAUUGGGACUGAGAUACGGCCCAGACUCCUACGGGAGGCAGCAGUGGGGAAUCUUGCACAAUGGGCGGAAGCCUGAUGCAGCAACGCCGCGUGCGGGAUGACGGCCUUCGGGUUGUAAACCGCUUUCAGCAGGGGCGAAGCUUGUGGUGACGGUACCUGCAGAAGAAGCACCGGCUAACUACGUG
rnacentral:rRNA from 1 species